rnacentral:rRNA from 1 species
UACGUAGGGUGCGAGCGUUGUCCGGAAUUAUUGGGCGUAAAGAGCUCGUAGGCGGUCUGUCGCGUCGGUCGUGAAAACUUGGGGCUUAACCCUGAGCUUGCGGUCGAUACGGGCAUGACUGGAGUUCGGUAGGGGAGACUGGAAUUCCUGGUGUAGCGGUGAAAUGCGCAGAUAUCAGGAGGAACACCGGUGGCGAAGGCGGGUCGCUGGAACGGUACUGACGCUGAGGCGCGAAAGCGUGGGGAGCAAACAGG